rnacentral:rRNA from 1 species
CCUACGGGUGGCAGCAGUGAGGAAUAUUGGUCAAUGGGCGCGAGCCUGAACCAGCCAAGUAGCGUGAAGGAUGACUGCCCUACGGGUUGUAAACUUCUUUUAUAAAGGAAUAAAGUGAGGCACGUGUACCUUUCUGUAUGUACUUUAUGAAUAAGGAUCGGCUAACUCCGUGCCAGCAGCCGCGGUAAUACGGAGGGUCCGAGCGUUAUCCGGAUUUAUUGGGUUUAACGGGAGCGUAGAUGGGUUGUUAAGUCAGUUGUGAAAGUUUGGGGCUCAACCGUAAAAUUGCAGUUGAUACUGGCAGUCUUGAGUACGGUUGAGGUAGGCGGAAUUCGUGGUGUAGCGGUGAAAUGCUUAGAUAUGACGAAGAACUCCGAUGGCGAAGGCAGCUUACUGAACUGCCACUGACAUUGAUGCUCGAAAGCGUGGGUAGCAAACAGGAUUAGAUACCCGGGUAGUC